GCUCAAUCUCUAGCCCCAACUUCCCUAUUUGCAAGAUUCUUAACUCUUCCCCUCAACCAAAACAUUUUAGCAGUUUAGUAUAGGCGAUAAAAAAAUUUUUCUGGAGCAUUACAACUAGUACCGUAAGGGAAAGAUGAAAUAAUAAUGAAAUAACUUUAAGCACAAAAGAGUAGAGUUUACCCCUCGUACCUUUUGCAUCAUGGUUUAACUAGUUUAAUUAGGCAAAAAGCUUUUCAGUCUAACCUCCCGAAUCUAGGCGAGCUACUUUAAGGCAACUUCAUGAGCCAACCCGUCUCUGUUGCAAAAGAGUGGGAAGACCUUAAAAUAGCGGUGACAAACCAAACGAGCCUAGUGAUAGCUGGUUGCUUUUUAAAAGGAUUUUAGUCCCGCUCAAAGUUUUCUAAUACAAAGAAACUCACUUUGAAGUAAUUCAAAUAAGGUUCAGCCUGUUUGAAAAAGGAUACAACCUCAACCACUGGGUUACCCUGUUUCAAUAUGACUAAGUAGGCCUAAAAGCAGCCACCUUAAACAAAAGCGUCAAAGCUUACCCAUCUUUAAACCAAAUUCCUCAAUCUAUCUCUUAACCCUUCAUCAUCAAAAAGCAAUUCUAUACCACUAUAGAAGAUUUUAUGUUAAAACUAGUAACAAGAAGCUGCCCUUCUCUUAAAUGUAUCUGUUUAUCAGUCAGGACACUCCACUGAUUUUUAACGUCUUUAAUCAUUAAGUAGUAACACCCAAAGAAAACCCUACUUUUAUCUCACGUUAACCUAACACAAGAACAUUUUAAGAAAGAUUCAAAGAAAAAGAAGGAACUCGGCAAACAUUAGCCUCGCCUGUUUACCAAAAACAUCGCCUCUUGAUUAAACCAUAAGAGGUCUAGCCUGCCCAGUGACAUUGUUUAACGGCCGCGGUAUCCUAACCGUGCGAAGGUAGCGUAAUCACUUGUCCUUUAAAUGAGGACUAGUAUGAAUGGCCCCACGAAAGCUAUACUGUCUCCUUUUUCUAAUCAGUUAAACUAAUCUUCCCGUGAAGAAGCGGGAAUAAAUAUAUAAGACGAGAAGACCCUAUGGAGCUUUAAACAACUGAAACACUUGUAUUUCUCAUUAUAUUCCAGAAACCUACACUUAAUCCCACAUUUUGUUUCUAGUUUUAGGUUGGGGUGACCACGGAGAAAAAAUUAACCUCCACGCUGAAAGAGCCUAACCUCUAAACAAAAAGCUACACCUUUAAGUAUUAACACAUUAACAUAAAUUGACCCAAUUAAUUGAUCAACGAACCAAGUUACCCUAGGGAUAACAGCGCAAUCCAUUUCAAGAGCUCUUAUCGACAAAUGGGUUUACGACCUCGAUGUUGGAUCAGGGUAUCCUAGUGGUGCAGCCGCUACUAAUGGUUCGUUUGUUCAACGAUUAAAACCCUACGUGAUCUGAGUUCAGACCGGAGCAAUCCAGGUCAGUUUCUAUCUAUAAAGAGUUUUUUCUAGUACGAAAGGACCGAAAAAACAUGGCCUAUACCAAUACGCAAGCCAUCAAUUUUGCACUUAUGCUCCCAACUCAAUAAUCAAAAAUCUUCCACCUAUUCUUAGACAAAGAAUUA
rnacentral:rRNA from 1 species